UCCAUGAGCAUGGAAUGUUUUUCCAUUUCUUUGUGUCCUCCUGCAUUUCUUUCAGGAGUACUUUAUAGUUUUUUGGAUACUGGACCCCUUCUGAUCUGCCCCCACCCCGCCACUCUGCACCCAAGUGCUGUGUCAAGGACACUAAUGAUUGUGGUGCCAAACCCAGUGGCUCCUUCCUCACUUUAUCCUAUGGACCCUUCUGACCGCCGUCCUCUUGCAAUCUCUGAAACACUGCCCUCUCCGUCUCCUUUGCACAACCUCGAAAAGGUGGGAGUCCCCGAGGGAGCGUCCUGGGCCCCUUUUGCAGCCUCCACUCACCCCUGUGCUGAUCCUCAGGGCUCGAAACACCAUCUGUGUAUCAGUCAUUCCCAAAUGACAUCCCUAGCAGUGUGCCCUCCCCCGAGCUUUUUACCCAUACUCCAGCUGUCCCUGGACAUAUCUUUGUCUGUGUCUCACAGACCGCACCAGCCUCAGUGAGAACAUGGAACCUGGGCUGCCCGGUUGCCAGAAGCCUCCGGCGUCAGUGUGUAGCAGUACCACCGCCCACCUUCCGCCCGGCUGUCCUAGCCAGACCCUCAGAGGCUGCGCAUUUUUGAUAGACUUCAUUAAGGAGGGACAACCAGCAAGUGGAAAAGUACACCACCUGCGCCCACAUGGCUCGGAGACUUUUCAUAACCUGCAGUCUGGGCAGGCCUCAGACGGGUCGCCUCAUCUGCUCUACUCCGCGUCGGUGGGAGCGGAGUGAGGGCUGGGAGUCGGCACCAUCCGGAGGCCCCAGUGCCCCACUGUCAGCCGCGGGCCCUGCUGGGGCAAAGACACCCGAACGUAACCAUGUGGCCUCUUCCCAGCAAGGUUGCUGGCUGCUGAGGUGGAGCAUCUUUUUUUUUUUUUUUUUAACACAUAAUGUAUUAUUAGCCCCAGGGGUGCAGGUGUGUGAAUCGUCAGGCUUACACACUUCACAGCGCUCACCGUAGCACAUGUCCUCCCCGGUGUCCGUCCCCAGCCACCCCCAGAUUGUUUGCGAGAUUACGAAUCUCUUACAAAGAAGGGAGUUGGGGGAAAUCAGAGGGGGAGACAACCACGACAGACUGUGGACUCUGAGGGACGUGGUGGUGCGUAUUCGGGAGGGCACGGACGGCAUGGAGUGCUGCGAGUGCUGCAUAAAUGAUGAAAUCUGGAACACGGAAGAGAAAUUUAAAAAAUAAAUAAAAAUU